AGAACGAACGCUGGCGGCAUGCCUAACACAUGCAAGUCGAACGAGACCUUCGGGUCUAGUGGCGCACGGGUGCGUAACGCGUGGGAAUCUGCCCUUGGGUUCGGGAUAACAGUUGGAAACGACUGCUAAUACCGGGUGAUGACUUCGGUCCAAAGAUUUAUCGCCCAGGGAUGAGCCCGCGUAGGAUUAGCUAGUUGGUGAGGUAAAGGCUCACCAAGGCGACGAUCCUAAGCUGGUCUGAGAGGAUGAUCAGCCACACUGGGACUGAGACACGGCCCAGACUCCUACGGGAGGCAGCAGUGGGGAAUAGUUGG
rnacentral:rRNA from 1 species